rnacentral:lncRNA from 1 species
CUUCUAGAUGAGGAUUUUCACCCAAAGGUUGCUGAUUUUGGUUUGGCCAAAUUAUGUCAUACCAAGGAGAGCAAGCUUUCUAUGGCUGGUGCUAGAGGAACAGUUGGUUUCAUUGCUCCUGAAGUGCACUCUCGAACCUUUGGAGUUGUUUCAACUAAAUCAGAUGUUUAUAGUUAUGGAAUGAUGCUAUUAGAGAUGGUUGGAGGCAGAAAAAAUGUGAAUUCAAUUGCUCAAAAGUCAAGUGAAAAGUAUUUUCCACAUUGGAUUUAUGACCAUUUUGGUCGAGGUGAUGGAUUACAAGCAUGUGAUGUCUCAAGUGAAAAUGAAGGAAUAGCCAAAAAGAUGAGUGUGAUUGGCCUGUGGUGUAUCCAAAUACUACCAAUGCAUCGCCCUACCAUAACAAAGGUUUUGGAAAUGUUUGAGCGAGCUUUAGAUGAACUGGACAUGCCACCGAGGCAAAACUUCAGCCAAAUCCUGUAAGAUAUUUAUGAUACGUUUUGCUGCAGCUACCCUGCACCAUUUACCAAUUGAUGUAGCAACAAUUCUUUUAUUGUUUUGCAGCGAAGAUCCAAAUUACAAUUUGAAUGCACAAAGCUUGAGUACAAGCAGUGGUACCAAAACACAAGUUUUUAGCGAAGUGCUAAAGAUGAAGGAGAUGAGCUUAGAGAAUUCAAAACUCUUACAGCGGUUACCAACUCUGUGACAAGGUUACCUAGCAUUGGAAUUGAGCAUUGAACUUGUGCAUGUGUAUUGGAGGGGGUAGAAAUCUUAAGUUACUCAAAUACUUGUCUCAAAACAAAAUGCUAAAUGCCUACUAUAUUAUUUUGCAGUCAAAGCCAUUAAGGCCCCAAGAGGGAAAGUUAUAUCUGCAAGUAUUCAUACGAUAUUUUUGACAUAAUCCUAACAUACUUAUAUCCUGUUAAUUAGAGCUUCUCGUUGUGCUUCACUGAUGCGCCAGCACCCCUUAUAGUCAUCCAACACCCAAACUUUACCCAAAAUCUCCUAAAUGUUAAUGACACAUCUGUACUGGAAUCAAUUAACAUUUGAAAAAUAUUCAUCAAGGCAUUACGCGUCCUAGAAAAAUCAAGACAUUCAGUUUUGAAGCUAUGACCUUAGUAGAGUCGAGCAGCAUAUAGUUGGAUCGUCCUGGAUUAAUGGCAUGCUGAAAUAUGAGGAUGGAGCUGAUGGUAGCCAUGACUGAGGUCGAAAAGGGCAUGCAUGUUGCUUGACUAUUUUUUUUUUUGAACGAAUGGGCACGAGGUUAUGCCUAUUUCAUUGAUAGAGAAGGAUAGUACACCCGGCUAGCUGGUUAGGAUACACAUGACUACGCAAUUACUCGCGAGAUGAAAAAACCGCUAAGUCCUUUGCCCCCGCUAUCAUCCACGCUCCGGCUUCUUCCUUGAUUUUCACGAAUAAUGCAAUGGUUGCCAUUUCCUUUUGAUUGAAUUCACACCUUUUGCUUUCCUUCCAGAUUUCCCAUAUGAUGAGCAGUGUAAUGGAGCACAUUUCCUUCCUUCCAGAUUUCCCAUAUGAUGAGCAGUGUAAUGGAGCACAUUUCCUUCCUAGGCGCUUCUGUUUUGGUAGUCAUGUUUAUCCACCAGUCCAGCGUGUUGUUGCUUUGUCGCCAUGCUGAGGGGUGUAUGCUUGGUUGUGCCGUCCAAUCCGCCACCAGGCUCCAAAUCCUUUUGGUGAAUCUGCAUUCGGCCAGUAGGUGAUGGGCUGUCUCUAUUCCGCAUCUGCAUAAAGGGCAUGAAGGAGAGUGUGGCCAUCCCCUACGCGCUAGCCGAUCAGCUGACCACACUCGGUUUUGUAGUAUUAGCCAUGCAAAUAAUUUGCAUUUCGGCGGCGCCCAAUUGCGCUAGAGUGUUUUGCUAUGUGGUGUUUUGGUGGAUCCAAAAAAAGGUGCUUUGUACGCCGAGGCCGUCGAGUACUUGCCAUUCGCCAAACUUCCAGCAAAUACUGUCCUCCUGUUGUGGUUGUAAUUGGACCUCUGUAGUGAGUCACCAAAGCAUCGUAAAUUCUUGAAGGUGCAAUGGUGUAAUGCCACCGUGUAUGUUUAGGUCCCUGAUCCAGUUAUUCGCCUACAAGGCUUCUGCCACGCUUCUUUUUUCUUUUUGAGAUCGCGAAAAUGUUAGGUGCAAAGUCCUUUGGCCUACGGCCUUGCAUCUAGCCCGACUGCCAGAAGCUCGCCUUGUGGCCAUUCCCUACUGUGAUGUUCGUACAAGCCGUGAAUAGAAGUCUAUCAGUGUCAUCACAUGGUGUCUCCAUUCCGAUCCAUGUUUUUUGCUACUCCCAUUCAUGCCACAGCCAUAGUAAUCUGAGUGGUCUUGCAAACUUGCGUAGAUUAAGAACCCCCAGUCCUCCAUUUUCCUUUGGUAGACAGCUUCUAAUCCAAUUUAUACCUUGCAUUUGCCCCCAGUCAGUGCUUUGUCUCCUGCCCUCAAGAACUUUUUCCUUGUCAAAGACUUUGUUUGACAUCUUGAGUACUGUCAAUAGGUAGAGCAGUUGUGCUGUUAGCACCGUUUUGGUGAGGCAGGUAUGCCCUACUUGGUUGAGAUUGCGGCCGAGAGCUUGCCUGCUGCUUUGUCGAUCAAAGGUUAGAAGUCAAUUUUCUUUAGUCGCCUUAUUGCGAGCGGGAGUCUGAGGUAUCUUAUCAGGAGUCCUGUUGUAGUUAUUGGGAGCCUCGAUAGGAUUUCCUCCAGGUUGACACACUCACAGCUUAUUGGAGCCACACUUGUUUUUUGAAGGUUUGUUCUCAGUUCGGUUGCCUCGCCAAAAAGGCUCAAUAGUUGUGUGGCAUUCGCAAUGUCUGCAGCUGUUGGCUUUAUGAAGCUAACUGCGUUGUCAGCAUAUAUUGAGAUACGGGCGUGUGCUACUCGCCCCUCCAGCUUGCUCAGUAGGCCUAAGUCCGUUGCUUUGUGUAUUAGCUGGUAUAGUGGGUCUAUCGCCAGGAUGAAGAGGAAAGGGGACAAUGGGUCUCCUUGUCGUAGGCCGUGUCUGUGCACAAUCGAGUCUAACAGGAUGUCGUUCAAUAGAAUUUUUGAAGUGGAUGUGGUGAGCAUUGUCGCGAUCUAGUCCCGCCAUCUUGGGGGGAAGCCUCUGUGCUGGAGUAGUGAGAGUAGGUAGUCCCAAUGCACCGAGUCGAAGGCCUUUGAGAUGUCCAGCUUCAUUAGUAAAGUAGGUGCUUUGUUCCUGUGGAAUCGAUGGCUCAUAUUCCGAACAUACAAGAAGUUGUCAUGGACACUUCUUCCUUUGGUAAAGGCACUCUAACAUGGCGAUAUUAGUGCUUCCAUAAAUGGCGCUCGACGUAGCGCAAGUAUUUUACUGAUGAUUUUGGCGAUGGCGUGUAUUAGGCUGAUUGGUCUGAAGUCUUGGAUGCUUUCGGCCCCCUCCUUCUUGGGGAGUAGUACUACUGUAACGGCCUCGGAUAAAAAUCCUUUGCGUCAAUCUUAAUCCGAGUCCCUUAUCACCUGUCUCAGUUUUCCCAGCCUAAGUGUUCAACCUCCAGAUCUCCCGACCCCUUCGAUCCGACCCCUUGCCGUGUUUCCCCAGUUCCGACCCCGCCGACCCCCAACCCACCGUCGGAUCUUUCUAAGCCAUCCCACAGCAUCGCCCUUCAAUUCGAGCCGUGGACCUCCGAGACUGACCGGUGGACCCACGAGAUCUUUCUUCCAGAUCUCCCGCGACAGGCGCACUCGAGUUGCAUGCCCGCUUCAGAGUUCCCCAGCCGCGUGGCUCAACUCCUCCGACGCCCGCCGUUCCGCCUCGUCGCCGGCCACGACCGGAUGGAUUCUAACGCCCCCUUCCCCAAUCGCGGCAGAAGCUCCUCUGCUACCCUUUCUGCAGCACCUCGCCGCCCGCGCCCAUCAUCACAUCGCCAGAUCCCAGAUCCCGGCUGCAGAGCCCGAUGCCGCCCGUCUUUUCCGUCACCUCUCCACAGUCGCGCCGCCCCGGUCCUCGCUACGCGACGAUUCCUCCUCCGCCAACCUAGACCGCGGCAGCGACAGCUUCUUUUCCCGCCUUGUCAGAAGCUCCUCCCCGACAAUCUGUUGCUCCGCGCUCGCCCGCGCGACCGCAGCCGCCUGUCUUCUCACCUGUGCGCCCUCGUUUCUAGCGUCGUUUUCCCGGUCACUUCCAUCAGAUCCACCGCAUGACGACGCCCACCUCUGCCAAAUCUCAACCACCGGCAAACCCGCGCCUGCGCCGCCCUGACGUCAGUGCCCAAUAACCGCCGGUGUCAUCCCCGAUUCCUGCUCCACCGCCCUCGUCGCUCAAUCGUCGCCCCGGCAGGGCACUCCAUCGCUUUUUCCCCGGCCUUCGCGCCGCUUCCCCCUUCCCUCUUCCGCGCAGCUAUAAAAUGGAAUGCUGGAGCCCCACCGGAGUUCCCCUUUGCCAUCGCUGCCCUCUCCCUUACUCCCUGUUCGUGCUCACAGCGCCACCACCUAAGUCUGAGGAACUCUCCUCUCCGCGCAAACACCACCUUCCCCGAAUCCACCAGCCACUGCUUUCAGUGCUGCCCAGAGCUUGCUUGUGAUCCACAAGAAGCACCGCCGCCGUCGGAAUACCGCCGGACAUCCUCGCCGCUGUCCCAAGCCCCUUAGUCCUUCCGCCCAAGCCUCCUCUGUAAGAUGAAGGUAAGCUGCCGACCCUUUUGUCCGUCUCGCCCGACCCCCCCCCCUAUCUGCCCGACCCCGGUUCCGUCUCGCCCGACCCUGUCUGUUCCGCCGACCCUUCUCCACCUCGCCCGAGGGCUCGGCUGUAUCUUUUUCCUUGAACCGAGGGUAUAUGUGUAAAACUUGGGGACUUUUCAGCGUUAAGUCUGAGGAUCCCUAGCACAUCUAUUCCUCUAGAUUAAGGGUCUGAUCAUAAGUUCCUUCCCAUCCGAUCCUCAUAUCUUGAUCUCCAUCAACUCAAGCGAACCUCCCCACCCUCCUGUAACUUGCCGCAAAUUUCUGGGCUCAAACUUGCAAGUGUUGCUGUUGAAAUAACCGUCUAAAUGCUAACCAAUGCAUUGCAUUCGUGUAGAGCUGCGUCUCACCGACGGCUUCUACGAGCUGCACCCGGCGCCAGAAGAAGAAGGUGUAGCCGAGCUCCUGCCUCCAGAAGCCGAAGCUGCCCAAGCAGACGAGCAGUUUCCCUCCUCCUUGCUCGAAGGCAAGCCCCGGAUGCAUGAAUUUCCCUAUGUUUUUUACCAAACUUGCGCAUGCCUUCUUUAUCAUGCUUGUGCAUUUACGUAUAGGAGUUGUUUGGAACCAUAGAUGCAUAACUUAGCUUCCUUGAUCUGAACACUAGCUGUUGGACCGGGUAGAUGCUUUGCUUAAAUAGGAAACGGUAAAAGCCGAGUGAUUUCCUGUCACUCGUGAGUUGUAGGAGUUGGUUGUUUCCCCUUCUGUUACAACUAUAAGGAUGAUGGACGGGGUAGGGUUUUGAGUAACUUUUUGGUGGUCGGUUGAUCGCCCCGUCUGUCUAUGAAACUUGCUAAGGCCCGACAGUGGUGGUGUUCGUGAUCAAGUGUUUGAAAGUACUAAUCUCAUACCUAGUAUGGGAUGGGGAAGCCUAGUACCUGAUUGAACUAGAGCGUGGCUUAUACCCCUGCUGUCCCUGGAACAAGGUUCCCAUGGUGCAUCAUGUGGGUGCAAGUGUGGUCACAGUACGGUAGAGGCCGGGACUGUGGAGCAUUGCAUGCCAAGGGAAGUUUGGACCUAACACGCGCCUGGGAAUUGAUGGGGACGGCCGACACAGGAAGCGACCCUUGUGGUGCGCGGAUGUCGUGAGAUUAGGUUCGCCAUGCAUGGUUAAGAAACUCGAAUCGAUUCGUCUGCCUCUCACAGUUUGAGAUUGCUUGAUCGCUAUGUCAUCCUGAGUAAUAAAGGAAUCUGAUGAUGACAUGGUUUGUGAUGAUAUGUAUAUAUACCCUUGGUUGGUUCUAUGGUUGCUUAGAAUAAGUUGCUAACUUAGACUGGAUAAUGAACUUAGAACCUGAGCUAAAACUUUGAAAGUAGGGAUACACCUAGUGCUUUUGGCAAAGCAAACCCCUCAGCCAAAAAGCUUUGCAUGUCUAGAAGAAGUGGGGUAGCGUACUCCCUGUCGGUUAAGUCUUGUUGAGCUUAGUAGCCCAGCCUUGUUGUGGCUCUUCUUUUCAGGUGAAGUUGCUGCCUCUGAGCCUCCCUCUGCUGGCACUUGGCCGCCCCAACUCUCUCCGGGUUGGACGGUUGAGUGGGAUCCCUCCUCGGACGGCGAGGAGAGGGAUCACUGAUGUCCCAGUGGGCCUCACCAGGGAUGUCCGACCCCGACGAGUUAGCUUCCGCUAGUUGUUACCUUCUGUUGUUUCUCUUCUGAACUUGUAAACUCUGAUGUUGUUUUAUGGCCAAACUAAAUGGUUAAUUUGAUAACUCGGUGGACUUGUUGUAUUCUCUGGAACCGCUCACCUUCGUGUGGGUUUGCUAUUCGGUCCUGUUCAAGUGGUUAAAUCGGAUGAACUCCAACGGCACUUCAUGUUUACUCGGUUUAGGCGUGAGCGUCGCGUAUCAUGCGGCUUAAUCAUGUUUAACCAAGUAAAUUCGAAGUGGAUCCGCCACAACUACAUUAGCUAUGUUGAGGAGGUUGAGGUCUUUGCAACGAAUGUUGUGGAAGGCAUUAACGGCCAUUGUGACAUCACCUUUGAUUAUGUGCCAACACGAUUUGAAGAAAAGGCCGGUGAAGCUGUCCGGUCCUGGCACCUUGUUCUUUGGAAGCUCUAUGAUUUCAUGAAGUAUUUCUUCCUCUGAAAAGGGGCUAUCAAGCGCGCGUAGAUCCACCGCUGGAAAGUCCAUAAUCUUCCAGUUUAGGUCUCUAGUGCGAUGCUGCGGCGAGCACAUCAUGUUGUUAAAGUGGUCUUGAAUUACCCUUUGCUUGUCUUGGUGGGUUAUUGCCCAGCCACAUUCCUUCUUUAACCUCUGGAUGAAGUUUUUCCUUCUUCUAGCGUUCGCCUUUAGAUGGAAGAACUUUGUAUUUGCGUCUCCCUCGCAUAUGUAGGUGAUUCUGGAGCAUUGUUUUUUUCUUGUUUUUUCAAUAGCCACCCUCCCAAAAGCCUCCUUUUUAGCUUAUGACGCAAGGAGUAUUCUGCGUUAGAUAGCGCUCUGGUCUCUUCAGCCGUGUCAAGGUGUACAAUGACCUCUUGGGCCAUGUGUAGCUUUAGUUUGGCAUCUGAAAUGAAUGACCUACUCCAUGCUUGAAGCGCGCGGGCAGUGGCAUGCAGCUUGUGCCCCAAUAUGUAAAAAGGCUCUGUGUGACUCAUCAGCUUGGACCAUUCUCGGGUGACUACUUCAUGGAAGCCAGGUAGGCACGUCCAGAAAUUUUCAAAUUUAAAAGGUGUCGGGCAUCUGGGCCCAGAUUGUUGCGCCAAUAGUAGCGGGCAGUGUUAGAGUGUGAGGAGGAAAGUGCAUGUAGGACAUGGUCAUUGAAGUAUAGAUCCCAGCUCUCAUUGCAGAAAACUUGGUCGAGCCAUAUUAAUGUUGGUCAACGCCUAGUGUUAGUCCAGAUGUUGUGCAAAUGUAUUUCUUUUAGAUCGCAGUAAUUUAGUGCAGCUCUGAAAUGCCUCCUCAAUCGCCGAUUAAGAUUUCUAUUAUUCUUAUCUCUCGCCCUGUAAAUGAGGUUGAAAUGCCUAGGAUGAGCCAUCGCGUGUCGUCGGCCGGUCUCAUAGCACGUAGAUGUCGUAGGAAUGCAGGUUUUGCAACACGUCGUGACGGGCCAUACACUGUCGUUAGCUGGAAGGAUGAUGUGUUAUGCUUUACUACUGUUGUUGCCGAAAUGGAGAAUUGGCCAAUUUGAACAUCCUCUAUGUUGAUCACCCCGUUGUCCCAGAGGAUGAGGAUUCCUCCCUUUGUGCCUAGAGCUGGUUUGUAGGCAAAUUUGUUCAGGCCAUGCCCCCCAAGAAGGCAACUAGAUCCCCGUCGAUGUUUUGUAGUUUCAUUUCUUGCAAUGUGACAUGUUGUCAUUGCAAUUGUUUCACGAACCAUUAGACAUCUAGCCGGAGCAUUGAGACCUCGCACAUUCCACCACAUUACCUCAAAGUUGCCAAUCAUCUGAGAGUUGCUUUGUUCGCUGGCUUAAGUGUCACGAAUAGGCAAACAAAACAGUGCAGCGUGAGUUCAACUUGGAGAUCGCCUGAAGGUCAUGGCCAGCAGGGUGGAGUUUGUAGGUCAUGAAUUUUGCCUGAAGGUUGAUGCCAGCAGGGCUAGUCAAAUGUCCUCUCCGAAGGUCGCACCCAGCAGGGUGAGGAACUGAUGAUACAAUGCAAUAACGAUACAUUGCGUGCCAUUGACAUGCGUAGGUAGUGCGCCUUGUAUGGAUCAUCAUGGCACCACAUUCUACUUCUGCUGUAGGUCUUGUACCGGGUCGCCUACCAUCUGGAGAAGCGCUUCGUUCAUCUGGUCUGCUGCGUCAUCGUCGAGGUCGAAGAGAGCGGUCAUGGCUGCUAUGACGAACUCUGGAAGGCUCCCCUGGAACAUGCUGAUGAAGUCUUGGAGAACCUGCUCAAUUGGCGCCAAUUCGUCAUCACUGACGCUAAGCUUCCUCCUUAGGUUCCACUAUGCUCGCUCCAUAGUCGGCAUCGUCGGCUUCCUAGCUAGUCGCGCGCUUCGCCGCACCUCGUUCAUGUCAAAGGUGCAGUGCUAGCACGUGCGUCGCACUAGCUGUUGUUGUAGCGCCGGUGGUGCAGGGUUGCGAAAAGGUUCUGGACGUGCGGUGUCUGCGAGCAGCCGUUGACGGCCGGUGCUGGCUCACUAGCCGGAGGCACCAGGUGAUUGUCAUCUUCUACGCUUGCAGUUUCCCCACAUGGGACAGGCCAAGCGGCAUUUGCAGGCUUGUUGGGAGGCCCACUUGCCACGUUCACUGUAGGCAGGUUGGGAGGCCCGUUUAUGACAGCCUGCGUUUGGCCUGUUGCGACCUUUUGUGCCGAAGCUUUGUGGGCCUAUUGGCCCAACAUAUGGGCCUUCUUCGAGUAGGCCGCUUCCGUCAGGGCCUCCUAGCCCAGCCUUUCCGCUGUGUUCGAAGCUGUGUGGGCCUGUUGGCCUAACAUCUAUGGGCCUGUUCGCUUCAGCUUAUUCAGCCGGCUUAUCAGCCAUCAAACAGUAUUUUCCUCUCACAACAAAUCAGCCGUUUCAGCUUUUCAGCCGGCUUAUAAGCUGAAGCGAACAGGCCCUGCCUUCUUUGAGCCAGCCGCUUCCGCCAGGGCCUCCUGCCCCAGCCUUUCCGCCGUGGCCAUAGCAGAAGCAACCACCGGAGCCUCCUCUCUCGGUGUUGCAGCCGCAGCCACUGUGACGGCGGCCACUGCGACAGCGUCUCCCGGCCUCGCAGGCAUGGCCAUCGCAGCAAUGGUUGCCGAGCACUCCGCUCCUGGCGUCAUGGCCACGGCCAUAGUCGCCGCUGCCGAAGUUGUGAUCUCUAGGCAACGAAGAGCACGUUCGACAUCAGCGGUUGUUGGUGCCAUUACCAUAUUAAUUCUAUCAAAAACUCGGUUAGUAGAGAUUAGUGACUCACUAUGGACAGACCAGGUUCCAUUCCCGGUGAUGAGGUUCCAGCGUGCCGUGGCAGGGGCGUCGUUGAUGCCAAGCCGGUAAGCGAGGCGGCAUGCCUUGUCGAUGUAGCCCGCAGCAUCAUGAAGCCACACCUUCGCUAUGUCACCGAGACGUGCCUGCAUCCCUUUCUUGAGCGCCGAGGCCUGCGCACAAAAUAGAGCUUGCACUGUCGUAGGCUCCAUGGCUCUGAGCUCCUCCACAUUCGGCAAGGCAGGUGAGUUUGCAGAUGCGCAGCUCCCUCACUCCUGCGACGUCCACCAUCGAAUGCUCCGUCCCGGCGGCGUGGUGACCAUGUCUGCUCCCGCGCGCACGACAUCGUGCCGUUCGGGGUUGCGGUGAGUGCCACUAACCCCCCGGCCGGGGUGCGUGUAGUCGUCGCCGCUGCCGUCGUCGUCGUUGUCAUUGCGCUGAGGCUAAGUGAAUCCCCCUUCCUUGCAGGUGCGCCCAUCAGCGCGGCGCCUGCCGUCCCCACGCUUGUAGUCGCGCCUUCUGUCGCGCCUCUGCUUGCCAGCCGCUCACCUUUUGUCAUGCGGGUGCUCCUGGUCGCGGCCAUCGUGCUCGCGGGGUGGCUGAGAAAGGCGCACCGAGAACCUUGACCUUGUCUCCACUAGAGCUCCAUCCAUGAUGCCGUAGCGCCAAACGUAGGGACGUCAGAUCGGAGCGAAGGCGGCAGGGUUUGCCACCACGCCUAGCAGGUCAUGGGCUGCUGCCAAGUAGUCCUCAACGAGGCCAAUGUGAAGGAAAACCUCGUAGCGAAUUCCUUGCUGCUAGCGUUCCAGCAGCUCCUGUGACGCAGCUCCUGUGUGAUGAAGAACGUUGCCGUGGAUUUGUCGGAUGGCCUGUGGGUGAAGACUAGCCACAAGCGCUUGGGGAUCUGGCUCGGAUUGGCAAUCCACGCGUACAGGUCAAUAUGCCUCGUGUCCGUCAGUUGGACGAGGUCGGUGUUGAUGCACUGUAGGGCGCAUUUGCUACCAAUGACGCGUUCGACGAUGUACGGCGUCCAAGCAUGGCUAGGGAUACCAUCAAAGUAGACCCUGUCGCAGUAGAAGAUCCACAUGCCUAGCGCGUGCGUGAGGCUGCGCCAGCGCCGCAGGCAAAUGUUGAUGUCAUUGCCCUAGAAUCUACCUUGUCGCCUUGCCUCAUCGCACUUGUCGUUGUGCUCGAACCGGAUUAGGAAUGGCUCCGGUUGGUUGCUGGUGAUGGUGAUGGUGCCACGACGCAGCUGCAGCUUGUUGAGCAGGAGGGUUUCAAUGUCUUGAGCCCCAGCGCACCGUGGCAGGUGGAUUGCCCACGAGACCAGUGUGCAUCCCUCCAAGCCACGGGCAUCCUGUUCGAGGUUGAAGGAGUUGGGGAUGAAGACCGUCCCACAUCAGGACGUGUGUAGGGUCUCCAAUCGCCAUCGGCUUGACGCCCGGGUGCAGCGAUGGUGGCGGCGGUGGAUGAGGCGUAGGAUAUGACGGUUGGGGCAGCGGGGGCAGAGGAGUUGGUGGCGGUGGAUGAGUUGUGGCCCGGCGCACUGGGGAGUUGAUUUGCUGGUGUCAGUGGUCCGGAGUCGAGGUUGGGCGUUGCUGACGGCGGGCAUGACAGUGGCAUUCCCGGUACCCCGAUCGGCGACAGUAGAAGCACCAAACUGGGUCUCUGCAAGCAGACGCGCGAUGGUCCCAGGCGAGGCAGUUGAAGCACCUCCCCGCGGUGGCCAGAUUGAAGGCUUGGAGAGCUGCGGUUGGCCGGCACCUUGAAGAUGGCCUUGAAGAGGGGUCUUGUCGGCCGUCGCACUGGCGUGGGCUGGCACGCUCACGACGCAUUGAAUGUCGUCUGUGGCCUCGUGCCACUAUCCAGCCCGACUCCAUGCCAUGUCUUGUACUGCCUCUUGCUCGAGCAGUCUCCUCGGCUCCGGUGGAUUUGGGCCUUGUUUACUUCCCAAGUUGGGAGUUGCGAAAUUGACAUUUUGCCAUAAAUGCGACACUGUAGCGUUUCGUUUGUAUUUGUGAAUUAUUAUCCAAAUAUUGACUAAUUAGGCUCAAAAGAUUCGUCUCGCAAAGUACAACAAAACUGUGCAAUUAGUUUUUGAUUUCGUCUACAUUUAGUACUCCAUGCAUGUACCGCAAGUUUGAUGUGAUGGGAAUCUUCUUUUUGUGUCAAAGUUGGGAGUUUGAAGGGAAGUAAACAAGGGCUUGAUGUGGGGACGGCGUGGUGGAGUAAAGGCUGUAGCAGGGAGAUCCUGGUGCGCAGGUGAGCGGCGAGCUAGCGGAUCUUGGGCAGGCGGUGGAGUAAAUGCUGUUGACGGGGGGCCUGACCUGCCGCAGCGGACGGCUUCCGCGUAGGUGGAAAGGGGUUUUGGCGUGGCCAGCACCGGAUCCAGUUGGGGGGAGCACGGAUCCGGUGUGGGUGGCACCCAAUCGACCUCGUCGGUCAACGGGCAACCAUGGCGUGGCGGCAGAGGUGGGGAAUCGAGGAAAAAGCUCUCCCACGGGCUUUGCUGCGCCAGGGUGGAGGACGCGUGGAUCUGCUUUGGUGCAGUUUGGUGUUGUGGCUGGCGGCUCAGGAUCUUUGGUGGGGUGGGCGGGUUGGGCUCCGCCGUCCGCCGGCGGCGAGGGGACGGCGACGGGAGGGGUAGCGGGUUGGGGGCGCACAUUUGUCUCUGCAGGAUACCGGUCGGGGGCGCACAUCCUGUCAAACGCCUUGCAUUGCUGCUUGCUUGACUAUUUGAGUUAGGUUCCAAAUACCGGUGCAUCAAUUUUAAUUUUUUCUGAGUAAUUAUUCAGGUUCCUACCAGAAGUUAACCUUUAAGGUUGACAGUUGAUACCCACAUCUAACUGAACCAAAAAAAAUCUACUUAAUCCAAAUGCACAUGAUCUCAUUGCAAAAUCGGAGUACGUUUCUCAAACAGUAUAAGCACCAAAUCAAAUUGAUGUACGCAUCUGAGUAUCUGACUCAACUUAAAAAUCACAUCUGUGAGUAAAUACACGGAAGAACGGAGCAGUCGAAGUGCAUGAUACUUACAUGGUUCCUUAAUACCUGAUGCUUCUCCGAUUCUCCCAAAGCAACAAGGCUAGAGCAGGCGGGCGUACCCAAGGAACUACCCAAUAGUGGCGCGAGAUUGGAUCCUGCAGUCCUCUCCAUCUGCAGCCCCAAUCACCGGCACCGAGUCGGCGAUGCGGCAAGGCGUAGACUGGGGAGAUUUCCUCAUGGGAUAGUACCAGCUGCGAGUGCGCCGUAGGAGAUGGCCGAGAAUGCAGUGGCUGGGGAUGGUUCUGUUCACCGCCGCGCAUCUCGACGGACGACGGCGAGACGGGUAGACGACGCCGGCGCAGGGCGGAUCUCCAUGGACUAGGCCACCAUGCUCUACGCAGCCGAGCCCAUUCAGUGGUGAGGGCCCAUCAUCAAAAGUUGGACCGUGAUGCGUCCUGGGUCCAUCCAUAUGCCCGCCGUGCCGUAAACUUGUGCCGGUCUGAGCCAGACAUCUUCCAUCCCGUUGCUUUGCCUUCGAUGGCUCAAUAUACAAUCUGUCACAAUUCAGUCCAAAAAAAAAGAAAAAGAAAGAAAAGAACACAAUUUGUCAGAGAAAUUCCACACUCUUAUUGUAAAACUUGGUGCUGCAUUGUAAUUAUCCGCGCUCUGCAGAUUCCGAUAGACGUCACGUCACUACUUGAGAAGGUUGGUAAGGUGUUUUUUUCCGCGAUCAUACCUUAGCACGUAUUUCAUUAAGAGAAGAAGAAAAGUUUGGUUACAAGAACUUGCAGCGUCAUCUGAGAUUGAUGACAUGCUAGCGCAUACAAGAAUUAAGAAGAAAUUACAUUUGCACCUUGCUACGACCCUACUAACAGGUUACCAGGUAUGAUGUUGGGGUGGGCGGCUGCUGUAAAUGGCGCCAGGCAAUGAAAUCCUGCCAAAAUGGACAGCAUCCCCGUCGUCCUCUGAGCAUGAUUGAAAGUUCUUUCAUUUCUUUCCAACCAAAUGGACCAACCCACCAGGAUAAUGAGAGAGUCUAAUGUUUUCCUGGCUGACCUAUCCACACGUUUUCUCACUACUAGCCACCAGUCAGGAAAGGAGGACUCAGAAAUAGAGGGUGCUAAGUGUUGCCAAUUCAGUUCCGAUAGAAUAAGAUGCCACAACUCCCUUGCAUAGACACACCGAACUAGCAGAUGGUUUAUGGUUUCAGACUCCUGGGUACAAAGAAUGCAAGUGUCGUCAUUUUGAAGAUUAUGUUUCUUGCGUCUAGAGGCUGUCCAGCAGCGUCCAUUGAUAGCAAGCCAUAUGAAGAAUUUGCAUUUAGGGGGUGCUCGGGUCUUACACAAAGCCUUUGCCCUAGGUAUUUCAUACUGUCCAAUGAAGAAUGCAUUGUAGGCCGAUGCCGUUGAGAAGUUCCUGUCUUGAGUCCAUUUUCACAAUACCUUGUCAAGUGUAUCCUCCUGUAAUGUGAUCUGUUGUAACUUGGUCCAAAUGCUUAUGUAUUCAAGAAGAACUCGAACAAUCAAUGCUCCAGUAAUGUCCCUGACCCAUUUUCCAUCUUGCAAUCCUUCACUUACUGUCCUUUUUUUUGCGAGCUCUAGGACCAAUCGCCUGAAGGAGACAUGGAGCAAUCUCUGCAAUCGAGCGACCGUCAAUCCAUCUAUCCUCCCAUAAAAGGAUGUUCUUGCCGUCGCCUACUUGAGUUGAGGUGGAGUAGUGGAACAAUUGGGCGACCUGCUGUUCAAUUGAAUCAGGUAAGUUAUGCUAUGAACGUGAAGUGUCAAUUUUCUUAAGCCAGAACCACCGCAUUCUUAGAGCAUAUCCCAUGAGGCGUAGGUCCGUAAUUCCUAGACCUCCCAAAAUAGAAGGUCGACAGCAUUUCGUCCAUGCAAGGAGACAAUGACCGCCAGAAAUCAUUUCUGUACCUUUCCAUAGAAAGGCCUUCCUGCGCUUGUCUAUUUGCUUGAUUGCCCAUGGAGAGAUGGCGACCGCGAUAGCCGUGUGAAUUGGAAUGGCUGACAUUUUUACCUUAACUAAGACUGUCCGUCCUGCCCUGCUCAUUAGCUUCGCCUUCCAUGUGGGCAAUCCAUCACAAACCUUAUCCACCAACUGCAUCAGGUCAUUCCUGCGAAGCUUUUUGACUGACAGCGGUAUUCCCAAGUACUUGCAUGGUAGGGGUUCGAGAUGACCGGGGAAGAAUUUGAGCAGCCUGAUUGUCUGUUCCAGGUCGCAUUGUAUGGGAGAGACAAGGCAUUUGUCUAGGGCCUUGUUUAGUUGGCCAAAUUAGGAGAUGCAAAAUUACUGUGACAGUACUGUAGCACACUGUAGCAUUUCGUUUGUAUUUGUAAAUUAUUGUCCAAAUAUUGACUAAUUAGGCUCAAAAGAUUCGUCUCGCAAAGUACAACAAAACUGUGCAAUUAGUUUUUAAUUUCAUCUACAUUUAGUACUCCAUGCAUGUACCGCAAGUUUGAUGUGAUGGAGAAUCUUCUUUUUGCAUAGUGUCAAAGUUGGGAGUUGGGAGGUAACUAAACAUGGCCUAGGUUUGUUUUAAGACCGGAUGCAGCUCCAAAGGUUGGUAAGGUGUUGGUUUCAGAAAACUGGUGCAUACGGUGCUAGUCCUCUCCUGUGACUGCACUCAGCUCGUCCUCCGAUUCUGAUGGCUCUUGGAGUGGUCGACGUCGACGGUGUUGUUGCCCCAGACCGUCUCCACGGGCCUCCCGGCCGCCGCCGAUCUCCCAGACCAUGUUGAUUUUGUAACUGCACCAAACCGCACCGAUCAGCUUUAUUUAUACACUGAUUUAUAACUGAAGGCUUCCUCUGAGAAAUCAAGGGAGUGGUAUGGAUUUGCGAAAUGGGACUCAUCCAUCGGACUGGGACUGCACAAGUUUGCAUUUAGAAGAGGGAUCAGGGAUGGAUGCAUAUAUAUAAUCUUUUUUCCCUAGUACAAUAGUCAGCAACAUGAGUGGAUGCUCAUAGCAGGAUUUGGCAUGUCCAUCUGCUAGUUGCAUGGCUUAUAAAUCCACUGCAUCUUGGCAGCACAUUGGCGUUGCUUUAGUCCUGCCCCUAUCGAUCCUUCGUAGGUCCCUUGCAUUUGUUUUCUUGCAUUGUAUUAGUAUAAAAAAAACAAGUUCUGGUUCUGCUCGUGCAACAAAUAGUCAUAGAGAUACUUUGACGUGGAAUAGUCAGAUUAGACUGACCAACCAGCAGUGUUGGAGGAGACUAGACUUGGACCUACUCCCGGCUCCCACACGGCCACGGAAAUUGAAUUAAGUUUCUGUCAGUUCAGCUCAGAAGACUAACCUGUCAAACUUCGCCUACAACAGUUGCAUUCGUCGAACCAUCAUCAUUCGCUGACUUACCACUUUCAUAACUUUCUCAGGGAAAAAUAAAACCAGCCACCAACAUGGUCUGGUGAUUGCCGGCUUCUCCUCUGCGGCACCUUGUUAGCACACUUGCAGUCCCUCCUAUCGCGUUGCAAAGAUGCAACCGUCCCUUGCUCCUGCAGCCGCCGUGCUACUGCUCGCUCUGCUAACCAGUCACACCGCCACUGCUGCCGUAAACACGUCGACGCCGUGCGCGACAGCCUCGUGCGGGAACCACACCGUCGACCUGAACACGUCGACGCCGUUUGCGCCGGCGCUGUGCGGGAACCUCACCAUCGCCUACCCGUUCUGGCUCGCCGGCACGCAUCCGCCGGAGUGCGGCUACAUACAAGGCCUUCCAGGUUACGUGCGACAAGCAUGGCAACCUUUCCAUGACGACGAACUCUCGUAGAAAUAUGAGAGAAGUUGGAUUACAAUGCGACCGUGUCCUCGUAUUUAUUUAUAGGGGAGCGAGCACCUUACAUAAUUACAACACCUAGUUCUAUUUAUAGAGGAGCUCGAAGAGCACUGAACCGUCAAAUAUUUCACUCAUUCAUUCCUUUUAGCAAAAGAAUCAAUUAGUGCUAUUUAUGGAUUUUCUAAAUUAAUAUUCUAUAUGGUAUUUCAGGUGGCCAUAAUGGCAGGAUUACAAUACUCAUAGGUAUUCUACAAUUCGACAUAAUUUCAUAUCAAGUAAUGCAAAUUUCAGUACUUAUUUAUUGAACAAGUUACUUUUUAGUUCUAGUCUUUGGAAGACCAUAGAAGAACUAUUAUAACGUCUUCAUAUAUGUUUGUGCAUAGACUCUAAAAUGAAAUUUUAGAACAAGUUAUCCUCAAGCAGUGUCUUCUAUUAUAAAUUAAAAAAUUUGGAGCAAGAUCUGUUGUCUUUAAUUAUAUAGUUUUUUCCUAUUUUCCCACUAAGCACUUCUUCUUUUAUUUUAUUUCCAUAAAAAGCGACAAAAACGAAUUAUUUCUGAUCUUGAAAAUCUGAACAAUAAUAAUAUAACUCACUGCUUCAAGAGAAAAAUAACAUCCGCUUUAAUUUCAGUUUUGAUGACAGUUGCUACAGGCUUGGUCCUACCAUGUGUAUAUGUGCAAGCUUUGCCUCCCUCAUACACAUCCCCAUUCCCCAAUCCCCUCCAUUCCGCAUCCUCCUAGCUCCUAUACUGAUCGAAUAACAAGCUUGAUGCAUCCGGCCCUGGUCCUCUUCCCGCUGGCCGCCUCCUUGCUCCUCCUCCAAGACCAUGCAAGCGCCGACUGCGAGCCGGCGACAUGCGGGAACCUCACUCUCAGAUACCCAUUCUGGUUGGGCAGCGGCAACCAGACCUCAUCACCCUGCGGCCACCCGUCCUUCGUGAUCUGGUGCAGCGACGACCGCCGCCGGAGCGUAGCCUCACUGAAGGGCUCCUCCAUCCACGUCCUCUCCAUCGAUUACGCCAACUACUCCUUCGUCGCCUCCCACACCAGGGUCGCCGCCGCCGACGGCGUGUGCCGCACCGACUUCAACAUGUCGGUCAGCAUCGCGCUCACCCCGUUCACCAUUAGCCCCCGGAACCGCGCCCUGUGCUUCCUCUACAACUGCACCGGCGGCGCGGCCCCGAUCGGGCCCGACGAGUACGUGAACGCCACCUCCAGCUGCCGUGCCCCCAUCUACGCGUACCUCGGCGGGGCCUACUACUGGGACAAGCCGCCGGCGAUCGCGACGGACGGGUGCACGUACACGUACUUCCCAGUGCUGGGGCGGGAGGCGGAGACCAUGACGGCGGCCAACUACAGCCAGCUCCUGAAGGACGGAUUCGUCCUGGAGUGGGAGGCGGCAGGGAUCGGCGACUGCGCCGCCUGCAACGCGAGGGGCGGGAAGUGCCGGUACGACAAAGCCACCGCGGCGUUCCGGUGCCUCUGCCCCGACGGCAGGAGCGCGGCGGGGUCGACAUGCUCCGGUGAGUUGUCACUCUCCCACUUCCCUCCGUACACGUACAGUAGUCAGCGUGUGUGGACGCCGGCGGGCGACCCGGCGCAUGCCACUUUUAGCUGCAAGACUUUCUUGGUCCAUUGCAUCAUGCGGAUUGCGACUUGGCGAAGGCGUGGCGGCGCUGGCGCAUCGGCGUCGCGGUAGGGCUGCCCAUGGGUUGGAUCCUCGUAAGCCCCAUGGAGAUUUUGCCUCAGUAACCUUGGCUAGUUUCCCUCGAUCCACCGGUAUAGAAUGGCCCGCGGCAGCUGGAGUGAUGUCUAUCUUAAGACUGUGUGGCGCGCGCACUGGCCACGCCGCAAUCCCUGGUAAACGCGUGUGCGGUCAAUGUCGUCUUCCCUGCCGGGUGCUUGCCGCGGCGCGGAGCAACAGGGGAGGGGGCCUGCCGCUGCCGGGCGUCGCUUUCGCCUGCCAUUAGCUUCUCCACGUGCUCUUUCGCGCAUGAUCGUUCCCGUUGGUGCGCUGACACAUCAACGGUAGGGUAUAUCAUCACUUGCCUCAAGCUUCAGCUUGAUCCAUAUCUUAUUGCUAUUAGUAGGUUGCCGUUAGCAUUGCUGACUUGCUGUCUUUGCUGAAGUGUCCAUUUGUGGCAAGUGGGUGCACUAAGUGCGUAAGGCUAGGGUUACAAGUGGCCACCAAAUCUGCACUUCUGAUUUUCUAGUCAAAAUAAUAAGGGGCACUUUUUGUGGACAAGUAUCUCAAGUAGGUUUACAUGAUAGUCUUUGGAUCCCAGCCCAAAUUACAGGCAAAUAUUGUCUUGCAGUGUUUGAUUUAUAAAUAUGAACAAAAAAAUCCAAAUUGUCAUAGGCUUUGUUCAUAAGCUUAGAGCUUGGAGCUUUGCCGUAGAAAAGCAGCAUGAAUAACCAUUUAGAUGGAAUGCAUAAGAAAAACACGACUUUGAGGCGAGAGAAGAAAUCAAAAUUUUAGUGUGACAUUGAGCCUCAUGGUAGAAUCCCUUCAAAAUUCCAAUGGAAUACAACAAUUUAUAAGAAAAUUCUAGGAUACAUAUAGGAGCCCGUUAUUUGGUUACACAUAUUACCAUGAUGUCAACAGAAUUUGUAUAUAUCAAUUCGAUCUUGACCUAAAACUUUAAAUUGAAUGAAAGAAUUCGUAUGUUUCAAUUGUAGAGAUACAUUGACUUCUGACUAGUAAAAACAGCUUUCAACUAUCAAAUACCAACUUUCAGUGGAACCUUGAUUGGAAAUUCCAAUCAAAGAAUUCAGAUUUUGACUUCCAAUAUUCAUACAUUCAAACAAGCCAAAAUAUGCUAUGAGUCUUGACACCCACUUCAAACUAUCAAAUUCUUACUUUAAAGUGUUUGACAAUUGCCAUGAAGGAUAUACUACUAUCAAAAAGGAGAAAGGAAAUUCAACUCAAAGAGAAAGCUUUUGAUACAAAAUAAUGUUAUAAUCUUUUCACCUAACAUAUAGGGCAGGGCCCCACUAUGGUUACCUUUACAAAAAAGUUCUACUACUUUACUGUUAUGCGUGCAGCUAUAUAUACUCUCUUCUCUCACCAAAACUUAAAAUGAACUUACGUAUACCUCGACCUUGACCUCAACUUUUAGGAAGAGAAUUCAAAUGUUUGAACUGGGGUGAUCGAUGACUUCGAACUAGGCAAAAACAACUUUCAACUAGCAUCCAACUUUCAAUGGAGCCUUGAAUGGAACUUUCAAUCAUAGAACUCAGAUUUUGACCCUUCCACUUAAUUUCAUCAAUUGAAACUAGCAAAAGUAUGUUUUAAAGUAUCCGCAUCUAAAAUAAAAUUUCAAGUUCUAACAUCAAAGUGUUUGACUCAACAAUUUCCAAGCACAAUAGUAUCAAAAAGAGAAAAGGGGAUUCAACUCAAAGAAGGAAAAAACAUUGUACUUGAUAUGAAAAAAGAUGCUUGGUCUUUUCACGUGCUUCCUCCGUUCCAAAAUAUAGGUCGUUUUGGCUUUUGAGAUUCAUAGAUUUUGCUACGUAUCUAGACAUAAUGUAUAUCUAGAUGCAUAGCAAAAUCUAUGAACUUAGAAAAGUCAAAGCGAUCUACAAUUUGGAACGGAUGGAGUAAUAAAGGCACAGACCCACUAUGAGGUCACUGGUGGUGACACGGCUGCCAACAACAUGUGUAAAACACACACACCCAGAGACCCAAUGCAACUUAGGAUACCGAAUAAAGUUGUGGGCAAGGUGAGUGGAUAUGGAACGUGCAUUGUUUUCCUUCAUAUUAGCACUCUAUUUAGGAAUGCUUGCAUUUCUCUUAGAAUAAUUCAAGCUUAAAUGCCUUUUUGGAGUCAAGUAGUAAACUUUGAUUGAAAAUAGCAAAAGUAAUAAUAGGAUUGUUGCACUCCCCAACCUUGUAUGGCAUUUUCACUAAUCUAAGAUUACAUUCGUUUAAAAAUAGAAGAUACCAUGUGAUUUAAAUUUGUUUUGUGGCAAACACACCUAAAUCAACCGUGCAAAAAUCAGUGGCAACUGAGUCCCGUAAAAAACACUUCUGAUUGUGUUGUUAGUAUACAUACUUUCGUAGCUUUUGCCAACAGAGUCAGGUUGAAACUACAAGUCAAGGUCUAGCGUGUGUCGUGCUCCGCGGCGACCACCCUUCAAAGUCCGCUGCUGGUCCCUGUAGGAAUAGCCUCUAGCGGCUUCCGUGUGUACAAACAGUUGUUGCCGUUCGCUAACACCAGUCCACGGUUUGACAAAAAGUGAGUGGACCUUUGCCCGGAGCUGAUCAGGAGGCCUGCCGCGCAUCCGGUCACGUCGGUGGCUCGCGACAGUCGUCGCUUUGCCCCGUCCGUCGGGCACCUCGGAAUUCCCGGGCUCGGCGGAUGAUGACGGCCCGAAUGCCCAGUCAAAGGUUUCGGCCGCUACCAUCUAGUGUCCACACACAGGACGCCCGGACUCACCUUCACCAUUUAGUCAGCCAAUCGUGCCUGUCUUCGUCCCAGAACUGAGCUGCCAUCGUCGAAACCUUCCCGUCUGCUCCCAUGGCUCCGUCGUCCUUGCUGCUCUUCCUCGUCUCGUCGGUGCCAGCGAUGCUUGCGGCCGGAGAAGAGGACUGCCCGACCGUGUCAGUGGCAUGCGGCAAAGUCAACAUCACCUUCCUGUUCGCGAUCGUCCCUGAUGAGAUGACGGAGACCAGCUGCGGUUUGAUUGGGUUCCAGGUUCGUUGCCGGAACAACAACCCGUACCUCGGCUACAAUAAUCGGCUCUACGGCCACCAGUUCCAGAUCCUCGACAUCUUCUACAACAACGCCUCCUUUCUCCUUGCCGAUGUCCACAAGCUCCAAGGCUUCAAUAACUCUGCUUCGGAAAAAUGCCACGCCCCGACGAACAACAGCUCCAACAAUCUCGGUCUUCCGUUCUCGAUCAGCCCUAAUAACCAGAACCUGAUCUUCUACAACUGCACGAAGCCCCUGUUGGAGGAGGAGAGGUGGAGCCGCGGGCUCGUGGAGACGACCUGCGGGAACAUGACGUUCGUUCGCGUCGCCGGGCGUUCCGACGGCUCGGGAAGCUACGGCAGCUACUUUUUGGAGGGCUGCAGCUCUACCGUCGUGCCGGUGCUUGCGAGGUAUGGCCAUGCGAACGCGAGCAACUACAAGGAGCUCAUCAGCGAUGGCUUCCUCUUGACAUGGGAGGCGCCACUGAAGUCAGGUAUAUUUCACUCUUCCAACUAAUACAUCACUUUGUCCUAUAGAAGAACCUUGGAACAGCCAGACAUUUCCUAGCACUCCCCUAGAACGAGCCUCAUCAGCGUAAGGCGUAGAGACUCCAGAGUACGGACCUGACGACCCAACCCACUGAUUUGAUAAGGGCGUAGCGAAACGCAUGUCGUCGUCCCCAACCGCGGUAGGCGUGUUCGCCGCCGCCACUCUGCCGUCCGGCGUACGUCCGCCAACACACAAGUCAAUGAGAUAUUAACACCGGAACAAAUAAAUACAGAAAGGAAAACAAAAGAAAGAGACAAAAAAAGAGGACCAAUCAGACGGUUGGAGGGACCACGACCAGUCAAACCGCUCGUCACCGUCCUUUCUCCCCUCACCUCAUAUCCGCUCCGCCCCCAGUCCGUUCCACUCCUUGUUCUCCUCCCUCACCGUCACCGAACUCCAAACCAUUCCACUGCCACCCCAUCCACAAUCUGAUACGCAUCCGCUCCUGCUACUCCUGCUCUUGCUCACUUCCUUCCUCAUCCGGGCGGCGGCGGCCAGCGUGGAGAAGUCGUCAGGCUGCUGGCCGAAGGCUACUGCCAUCGUCGAACCUUCACGUGCUCCCAUGGCUUCGGCCUUGUUGGUCUUCCUCGCCUCGUCGGUGUGGGUGGCCUUCUUGGCACCACUGAUGCCUGCUGCAGCAGCAGAUAGGCAAGGCAGAGAGCACUGUUGGCCCAGCUCCCCUCCUCAAACGCCCUGUCAACGCAACACAAGAACAGAAGAACAAAAGCUCACACUUGUAAUUGGAUGGCACACAACAAGACUCUCUGGAACACUGGAAGUUUUCUUUUUUUUCACGGUGCUGCACACCAGCACUCACAAACACUAGUAUUCACAAAGAGCCACACACGCACAGCACUUCACACACUCCUUGGCGCUCGCUCACCCCCUGGCUAAAUAGCCUACGCAGUUGAGUAUCAUGCACACCACAACGCCGGAGUUUUUGCCAGCCACACGCACGCACGCAGCUCCUCACGAUCCAAAAUACUCGGUCGCCGGCAUACACGGCACUACUUCUUCAUGCAUGCAGUCAACAACCCGGCCGAGUCUCCAUGCGCAGCUCCACGCCUCCUGAAGAACCGGACAUCCAUGCAAGCACUAUCUCCUAGCAUGGACCUUCACCAGUUAAUGACCCGGCCACCACUAAUCACCCGGCCACUAACCACACACACGAUACACUUGGCCUGGACACAAACACCAAACAAUUUACUCACGCAGAUCACACACACGACACUGACGCACACUAAAUGAUAAAAGCAAUAUGAUUAAUUCUAACAAUCACCCCCUAAUCUUGUUGGUUUUAUUCAGCACCCCCACACACUCACAGUAGCGUUGGUUCUUGAUCUGCAAUGGCAAGUUGUGCCACUGCCUUGGCUGCUUUCACCGCAUCACACUCGUCGGCGAAGUGCCCGAACUCACCACACUUGCGGCAAUCGAUCUUGGACUUGUCAAACUUGCCGCGGUACUUCUUCUCACCAACGUUGCUGCUGCUGGAGCCAUUGCCGCUGCGCUUCUCUUCAGCAACUAAGGCCUCCCACUCGGCCCGUGUGAGCCGCUUCUCCGCGCUUGCAACGAGCAGCUGCGGCACCAUCUCCUUCUCACGAGACCGCCCCUUUGACGACUCCUCGAACGCCCUCAAGCGCCCGAUCGUUUCUGUAACCGACAUCUCCUCCACAUUCCCCCAUUGCUCAAUGGUGCUGAUGAGGGGUCCAAACUUGUCGGUGACGGAAUGUAGGAGCUUCUCCACAACUGUAAUGUCUUCCACUUUGGUGCCGAGAGAGCGAAUCUCGUUCACCAUAGUGGUAACCUUCAAAGCAAAAUCACUAAUAUUUUCAGACUCAUUCAUGUACAUACCAUCAAGCCUCCUCUUGAGGGUCUGUACACGCGCCUUCUUGACACGUUCUUCACCAGCAUGCAUCUCCUCAAGAGCUUUCCACACCUUCUUCGCUGUCUCCACCUCAGAAAUGGCCAACACCAUGGCCUCCGGCACAGCUUGGACAAUGGCGGCGAGAGCCAUUUGGUCCAUCUUCUCAUCGACGUCACCCUUGCUCACCACGGCCGCCCACACGCCUUGCGCGCGCAUGAAAAUCUUCAUCUUUACAGCCCACACACCGUAGUUGUUCUCCGUGAGCAUGGGGUAACGUAGUGUCACCCCCGCCUCCUUCACUUGUUGCACCACCAUCUUGUCGUCGUCGCCGCCGGCAACACCCUUGCUAUUGUCGCCGAUCUUCCCCAUCUCUCAAACGUGGCUCUGGUACCAAAUGUUGGCCCAGCUCCCCUCCUCAAACGCCCUGUCAACGCAACACAAGAACAGAAGAACAAAAGCUCACACUUGUAAUUGGAUGGCACACAACAAGACUCUCUGGAACACUGGAAGUUUUCUUUUUUUUCACGGUGCUGCACACCAGCACUCACAAACACUAGUAUUCACAAAGAGCCACACACGCACAGCACUUCACACACUCCUUGGCGCUCGCUCACCCCCUGGCUAAAUAGCCUACGCAGUUGAGUAUCAUGCACACCACAACGCCGGAGUUUUUGCCAGCCACACGCACGCACGCAGCUCCUCACGAUCCAAAAUACUCGGUCGCCGGCAUACACGGCACUACUUCUUCAUGCAUGCAGUCAACAACCCGGCCGAGUCUCCAUGCGCAGCUCCACGCCUCCUGAAGAACCGGACAUCCAUGCAAGCACUAUCUCCUAGCAUGGACCUUCACCAGUUAAUGACCCGGCCACCACUAAUCACCCGGCCACUAACCACACACACGAUACACUUGGCCUGGACACAAACACCAAACAAUUUACUCACGCAGAUCACACACACGACACUGACGCACACUAAAUGAUAAAAGCAAUAUGAUUAAUUCUAACAAGCACUGCCCGUCCCAGCUAUGCGGCAACGUGAACAUCUCCUUCCCGUUUGGGCUCGUUCCGGAGGAGGACGCCGUGACGCACUGCUAUGCACUGUUCAAGGUUCGUUGCCGUAACAACACCCCAUACCUCGGAUACUAUCAGACCGAGUUCUUCAUGCAGAUCCUCAGCAUCUUUUACGACAACGCCUCCUUGCUCAUCGCUGAGACCCAGGAUCACAAUGACUCUAGACACCUGGAACUAGGCUGCUACAUCCCGACAGGCAACGCCACCUCCAAGAUCGGUCGUCCGUUCUCGAUCAGCCCCCUCAAUCAGAAUCUCAUCUUCUACAAUUGCAUCAAGCCGCUGCCGCCAUCCGUGGGGCUUGCAGAGACGAUGUGCCGCAACAACACGUAUGUUCGCGUCGCUGCCGAGCGUUACGAUGGUCAUGGCAGCUACUUCUUGGAGGGCUGCAACUCUACCGUCGUGCCGGUGCUUGCGAGGUAUGGCCAUGCGAACGCGAGCAACUACGAGGAGCUCAUCAGCGAUGGCUUCCUCUUGACAUGGGAGGCGCCACUGAAGUCAGGUAUAUUUCACUCUUUCAACUAAUAGAUCACUUUGUCCUAUAGAAGAACCUUGGAACAGCCAGACAUUUCCUAGCACUCCCCUAGAACGAGCCUCAUCAGCGUAAGGCGUAAAGACUCCAGAGUACGGACCUGACGACCCAACCCAUUGAUUUGAUAAGGGCGUAGCGAAACGCAUGUCGUCGUCCCCAACGGCGGUAGGCGUGUUUGCCGCCGCCACUCUGCCGUCCGGCGUACGUCCGCCAACACACAAGUCAAUGAGAUAUUAACACCGGAACAAAUAAAUACAGAAAGGAAAACAAAAGAAAGAGAUUAAAAAAAGAGGACCAAUCGGACGGUUGGAGGGACCACGACCCGUUGCAGCCGCCACCGCCACAGCCACCGUUGCAACCGGGAGCAGGUAAGUUCACUUUUUUAAACGAAUAAAAUACGAUUAGUAGGAUGAUGCUUUGGCUUUGACCUAUAAAAAACUAAGCCUAGUUCUAGUUCUAGGAUUCCUCAGUUCUCUCAAACAAGAGCCACAUCGAAGGCGUUCGUAACGAUCGUUAUAGAGGUAGCAGUACUCUACCGCAACAAAGUAGCGGACCCAAGAUAGCAUGUAUAGACUUAACGGCCGCUAUUAUUCACUAUUGCUCGCUAUUGCAGCCUCUGUUGCUCAUGUUAGGCCGCUAUUCGCUAUAUUUACAGUUCAAGUGACAUAUGACCAUGAAUCAAAUCAAAUGGUUAUAAUAAUAUUUAAAAUGGUUAUUUAGGUAAUGACCAAGAGUUAUUGAUGAAAAAUAAUUAUUUUUAUUUAUUGAUAUGGGAAGUUAAUGUUAAUAUAUAUCCAUACAUCUUAAUUAUACCUAUUUAUUUGUGAUUCUUACCAUGAAAUGUAAACUUGAUGUUAAUAUUCAUAUAUGCUUUAAAAUUGUGACUAUUUUGUGAAUUCCGCUAUUUGAACUUAGCGUCCGCUAUAGCAUCCGCUAUCCGCUACAUCAGCACUAAUUUGCUACCAUACUGCUAAACGCUAUUUAGUACCUUAGCCAUAACAGGCUAGCAGGGAGCUAGAGACCAUGUAGUAUGGACUACGGACCUGGCAACCCAAACCACCAACCAGCAUACUAUCCACGCUGAUGAUUUGAUAAGGGCGUAAGCCGGUUGUCAUCCCCAACCGCGGCCGCCGCCACUUGUUGUCCGGUAAGUCAAUGAGAUGUUAAAACUUAAAUAAACAAAUUUAGAGAGAUGGAGGCGUGGACCACGACCGGUCGCCACCGUCCUUUCUAGUUUCUCCUAUCAUCUCAUAUCCGUAUCCGUCCCGCUAUCUGUUCCGUGCUCACAUUCCUCCGCCAUUGCCACCCCAUAUGCCUCUGCUUCUCCUCCUGCUGCUCGCUUCCUUCCUCCUCCUCCACUGGGCAUCAAAUGAUGAAAAUCAUCUUCAUGUUUAGUCAUAAAUUCUUCUUUUUCCUUUUCUUUUAGGCUUUCUUCUGCCUAUAUAUACUGUCAAGUCUUAUCUGCAGUAACAAAAGUAGUUCAGCUAUAGACUAAAGAGGGCAAAGUUUUCAUGUCAGACUAACUUAAACUGCACAAUUUUACAACUGAAAUGACAAGCUAUUCACAGUGACUGUUCUUAUGCAGGAGGAAGCAAUAGGAAAAAGAUAGUCAGUAUCAGUGAGUAUCAACUCUCAACCUUCAUGGCUUAUCUAUUAUACUUGAUUUCUUUUCCUGCUCUACUGAAACUUUGUAGCAUCAUAUGUUUUCAGCAUCUAUUUGAUUAAUUAGUUAUUGCAUAUUGCUAACACCUUUACACUGUUAUUGCAUAUUGGGAAAUUUGGAGGAGGAUCUGUUGUCUUUGAUUAUAUGGCUUCUUCAUAUUUUCUUACUUUGCACUUCUUCUUUUGUUUUUUUUGUAUACAAAAAGAGAAAAAUAUGAAUUGUUGACGGUCUUGGAAAUCCGAAUGAUAAUAAUAUAGCAGCUCACUGUUUCAAGAGAAAAAGUGAAAAAUAACAUCUGCUUUAAUUUCAGUUUCGAUGACAGUAGCUGCAAGCUUGCUCCUACCAUGUAUAUAUAUGCUUGUAUGGCAUGGAAAGAGAGGAAAGCUACAUUUUUUCCUAUGUGAAAAGACUAGCAGAAGCACUGAAAGGAACAUUGAGGCCCUAAUAGUUUUGCAUGGAUCCCUAGCUCCAAAAAGAUACAAGUACUCACAAGUAACAAAGAUAACGUCUUCCUUUAGUGAUAAGCUUGGGGAAGGUGGUUAUGGUUCGGUUUUCAAAGGAAGGCUAGAUGAUGGUCGUCAAGUUGCUGUGAAAUUCUUACACGACUCCAAAGGAGAAGGCGAGGAUUUUGUUAACGAGGUUAUGAGCAUUGGCAGGACCUCUCAUGUUAAUAUUGUUAGCUUAUUUGGGUUUUGUUUGGAAGGCUCAAAGCGGGCCCUAAUAUAUGAGUACAUGCCCAAUGGUUCUUUGGAUAAGUUCAUAUACUCAGAGAGUCCUAAAGCAGUUUUAGGAUGGGAUAAGCUCUACACAAUAGCGAUUGGAAUUGCUCGAGGAUUGGAAUACUUGCAUCAUAGUUGUAAUACACGCAUUGUCCAUUUUGAUAUCAAGCCUCAAAAUAUCCUUCUAGAUGAGGAUUUUCACCCAAAGGUUGCUGAUUUUGGUUUAGCCAAAUUGUGUCAUACCAAGGAGAGCAAGCUUUCUAUGACUGGUGCUAGAGGAACAGUUGGUUUUAUUGCCCCUGAAGUUCACUCUCGAACCUUUGGAGUUGUUUCAACAAAAUCAGAUGUUUAUAGUUAUGGAAUGAUGUUAUUAGAGAUGGUUGGAGGCAGAAAAAAUG